CGCGCCUGGGCCGGGCAGGCGCCCGCCAGCCCCUCUGCCGCCACCUCCAGGAACCGCCGCGGCCGCCCCAUAGCGCCGAACGCCCGCCCCGCCGGAAGCCGCCGGCAGCCAGAAAAGAAAAAGAAAAGAAGAGCCAGGAGGAUAGGUUGUUCAGUUUACUACUGGAGACCUGACUGUGACAGACCACCAAGAACACAAAAUUUUCAAAGGAAGCGAAGACGACCUUCUGUGGCAUCUGCAAGUCUCUCCUUUUUUCUUCAGAGUUACGUAGGAUAACUUAGCCAGAACUUAUUGAUGACUGCAUGUUCGGUGGACUCGGGAAUGGGCUGGGAGAUGCGGGAAGGCACCCAUCGGAAGGAACAGAAGAGGAGGCAUUUCAAAGAUCCUGCAGGUGACUGAGAUCGACUUGGAAACCUUCAGUUUCAGAGAAGGCAAAGGUGUCAGAGUGAGUUCAUAUGGAACAGAUGGGUUUUCUGGAAAAAGCCUCCAAUUUGAUAAACCUCCAGAAAAAUUUCCCAUGACUGGCAGGAGACAGAGUACCUUUGUUGUGAAUCUUUGCUGGUCCCACUGAAGUUGGUGCUGCUUUGGGAAUUUACUUCAGCUGAGAUUAGGACUUUGGUGAUAGACUGGUGUGAGUGUUGAAGAUGGAGACACUGAUCAUUAAAGCUGUGUCAGCUUCUCAGCAAUGAACUGAUGUUCUUUUUGGCUUAAGUUCAAUGCUCUUUGAAUGAGAACCCGUGAUUUACAUUAAAUGUUUCUCAACUAUUCUUGUGGGGGUAUUAAGCUGAUGUCUUGCUACUGUUUGGAGCCACCAAAGAAACAAGCAAAAGGGAAAAAAAACCCAAAGCCAAACAAAAAAACCCCACAGAAAAUAUUGAUUUAAGUUUGGUGGCUGGUGUUGAAUGUGCAUGUCCUUCCCUCUUGCAGCUGCAGAACGUACUGGCAUUGCAGGUGGGUCAUCCGACAGCUCCCUUUUGGACCGCUGCCAAUCCUGCUUCAUGGAUCAGCCAACGACUGCCUCCUGAAUUGUGCUUGCACCUGUUUCCUCUUCUUCUGGAAUAAACAGUUUUGUCUGAAAAGAGCAUUGACAAAGGCCAAAGUUGUGUACUCAGCCUGGCCCACUGAUAUAAAGGAAAUCACAUUUUCUUGAUGCUUGUAGAAUGAAAGUGGCAGCUGUUACCAUGGAAAUACUCAAUUUAUGAAAGAAGUUUUGAGGAGGCUGAACAUCACCGCUAAUCUAAGAGACUGCAGUCAAGACAAAAGGUUAAAGUUGGAGAUGUGCUAAUUAGGAGAUAGCUUUGUUUCUGAUAAUGUGAGGAUAGAUACGAAGGAUUUCUAUUUGAUAAAAUGCUGAUGUCCUGGCUAAUCCCUUGAACCUGUUAUUUUGAAUACAUAGCACAGAUUAGAUUCAUCCCUAGUAUAAAUCCAAUGAUUUGUGUUCAGAUAGGUGUGAACUUAGCGAGUGUAAAUAGGCACUGUGUCCUGGAAAGGUACUUUCAAAUAGUUCCUUAAAAUGUAUUUUAAGAGUUAUUUUUUCACAUUCCCCUUUUGGAGACAUUUUUCUAGGUUUUGUCUGGUAUUUUGCAAGUACAGAUGUCCUCUCUGUCCUGUUCUCUCUGCUCAGCACUUUUUCUGAGGUGCAAAAAUUACUGUGGUUCUUCAGAUUUCUCCCUAAAUCUGCUAAAAAUCUUAUCAGCAAAUAAAGAAAAGGCUUUGUUAUUUCCACUGCACUUCCCCUGUAGAUUGACUGUGCCAAGACAAAGUAUAUAAUACAGUAAAGUCAGCAUCUGAAAACAGGAAUGUUUGGGCCAGAUCCUCUCUGCUCGUACAAAGUGCCAAAUCUUCACUCUCUUCAGGAGAGAUGCAUCUCUCCACAAGUUCUGAAAAUACAGCAACAUACUAUUUAUGUUAAAUUUCUCAGCUUCAGAGCACAGAAAACCCAUCUGACGAACUCCACCUGAGCAGCUAAUAACAAUUUGAAAACAAUUUCAUCAUUUGCGCUGGAUUAUUUCAUAAAAGACUUAAUUAUUCUUAAUUAAAUCUCCUGUUGAUUAUAUUUUUUUGAGCCCUAGCUAUUCAAAUAAUCUUGGGCCCUACAUUCUUCUAUUUAUUUCUUUUCACUUACAAGUAGCCUGCAUUAUCACAGAAACCUUUAUCUGUGUAAUUAGUUUUACAUGGACUUUGUAACAAAGACUGCAUGUGAAAAAUGGAAUGGUAAAUGGUGUUGGAUAUGUCCCCUAAAAUGACACCAGUAACAUCAAAGCAGUAAAAAUGUCACCACCACAUUAUUCGUGGAGGAGCUAAAGGACAUUCUGUGACCAGUGGAUGCAAGCAAUGGGUCUGGGCAAUUGUAAAGGGUGUUGUAGCACGUGACACUUCCAGUUGUAUCUCAGGCUCCAACUUGAAGGUGGUAAUUUUGCACUGACUCUUCUAUCUGGGAGACUUUGAGAAGCUCACAGACCUAUUGCUAGGUCCCUUCUUUACAGCCUGAAUGAAUGUGUGGCAUGUAUACUGCCUCUUUUUUUUUCCUGCUUUCAUGCUCUUGUUGCUCUUUAACUUAAAUAACACUUCUCCCACCUGGAGGUGUGUUCCUCAAGGCAUUUCUAGGCAGCAGUUAUAUCUUUACUUACCUUUUUUAUUUCUAGACUAAACAACUUCGCUCUUCUUAGUAUGUUUGGAUGGAGGAUCUCUGUUCCUUCACUCUUUUAGAAGUUAUUGUCUGCCUUUUCCCCCAUUUGAGUUCAUCUUUCUUGAAUGUGUAUAGGAUUUCAGGUGAGGUACUUUGUACAUGAUCAGAGGUGUCUCACAGGUUCUACUGAGAAUCGUCAUCCUCAUGUCCUACAGUCUCACUUGCCUUUUUCAUCAUGUUACCCAUUUAGUCAUCCUCUCAUUGGCAACUACAGUCCUCAUUUGUCUGUACCUGGUCUUCUUCCAGGUUACAUUUGAAUUUUCUGCACGUGACCUUGCUGUUCACACCAUUCCUAUGGCUCCCAUCUUCAAGCUGCUCUAUUUGUAUAGUUUCACUACUCUUCUGCAUUAACAGUACAAAAGUGCCCAAGCACUCUUCUGCCUGGGUCACAAUGAUGAAGGGCUAUGAAGGGACAGCAGAAGCCCCAGGAUGGAUCCUGAAGACCCUCGCUGCUAAUCUCAAUCGACUUGAUGCAUCCCUUCUUAAUUGCACUUACCUGUCACUACUUCUCCUUUAGCUGUUUUUUAACCACCAAAAGUCUUCUCCUUAUUGCUCAGAUUCCUUAAUAAUGUAUAACAUGAAGUGAAAUGCAUUCCUAAAGUCCUGAAAGAUGAGAUCUCUUACACUUCAUCUGUUCAGAAAAACACUUACCUCAUCUAAGAAAACUAUCUGAUAGUUUGUAUGGUAUCCCUUUGGUAAAUUGCUGUUGCAUUUUAUCCCAUUUUUCAUUUCUCUGUGUCUUUAUAUAUUGUCUCCCUCAAAAUGUACUUUAAGACCUUUCAUACUAAUGAGGUCAAAUGAAACAGCUUGUAAUUUCUGAACUGUCUUCUCCUCUUGUUUUUCUUCACUUUUUUUUUUAAGGAAAGAAACCAUAUUUACUAUUUUUCCGUUUCACUGCCAACUUGCUGGUGCUAUUAAAAAUAUUUCUCACUGGACCAGCAUUAUGCAUGUCAGAAAUUUUUAGAAGUCAGAGACUCUGAUUAACCAGACCUCAAGCUUGAUGCAUUUAACUCUUUGAGUCGAGCUUUUGUGUUAGCUGUGGUAGUUUCUAUUUGCAUACCUGCAUGCAAAUUUGUCUCUAAAUUCAACUUUAAACUUAUUGAAAACUGUGGCAAAAUACUAAUUCAGGGCUUUUCCUUGUGCUGUCUUUAAUCUGUACUCCAUCCUUCCUUCACAGUGGCACAACGUUUUUCCUUGUCUUUUUUUUUUUUUUUUAAAUUUAUACUACCAAAGAGCCUUUUCCUAUUUGUUUUCAUGUUCUUUGCAAGAUAUUACUCAGUUGGGUUCCUGGCAAUUCAAACUUUGUCUUUGUACUUCCUGACCUCUCAGAUGUUUUUAGUUUGUGGACAGUACCUUUGGCAUUCUGUAUGGACUCUGCUUGUUUCCAGUACUUUCUUUUUGACAUGGUUAUUCAUUCAGGUUAGACCUGGGAUUUCUUCUUACAAGGUCCCACUAGUUGCUGGCUGCAGCUUUGUAAAAGCUACUUGUUCAAUUUACUGUCCCUUUUCUGCACUACAGAACAGAUGUAACUUGAGAGAGCCUAAAUACCAUUUUUAUUGUCAUUUUACAGUGCUUUACUAUACUAGUGCAAUUUGUAACUUCCUAUGCCUACCUGGCAUUAUCUAUUACAUAAAUAAUGCCACUCAUGUAAUAAUAAAAGCUAUGAAGAUUAUUUGUGUGAGAAAAGGGUUGCAGAUCAGGGUCCACAUUCCUUAAAGUACUUUUACCAGGUGCAGCAUUUUUCUCACAGUGGUGGCUUUUUUUUAGCUGAACUGUAAAAGCUGUUUGAGAUACACCUGCAGUAUCAAAAGAAGUUCUGAAUAUUUUGGAAGAUGAAACUACUCGGAAACUGAAGGAUGCAGGGAUUUGUCCACGUACCUAGUAUUCCUCUAAUAGCCUUUUGCCACUUGACUCAGGUUUUAUUUCUGUCUUUCUAAGUAUUAUCGGAUUUUCAUUUGGCACCCUGGUGAUUUGCAAAUGUACAAGUACUAUACUGACUGUUCAGGAAGAUGGACUUUCACAGAACUAAGUUGUUGCAUGGAGAAAAUUAGAAUCAUAGAAGCAUUAAGUUUAGAAAAGACCUCUAAGAUCAUCAAGUUCAACUGUCAACCCCGCACCACCAUGUCUCCUAAACCAUGUCUCAAAGUGCCACAUCUACACGUUUUUUUUAACAGCUCCAGGGAUGGUGACUCCACCACCUCUCUGGGCAGCCUGCUGCAAUGCCUGGAACAAUCUUUCUGUAAAGAAAGUUCCACUCUUUCAGUAAAAAAUUUUUCCUAACACCCAAUCUAAACCUCCUCUAAUGCAACUUGAGGCCAUUUCCUCUUGUCCUAUCACAAGUUACAUGGGAGAAGAGACCAACACCCACCUCGCUACAAACUCCUUUCAGGUAGUUGUAGAGAGUGAUGAGGCCUCCCCUCAGCCUCUUGUUCUCCAGUUUAAACAGCCCAAGUUCCCUCAGCUGCCUCUCAUAAAACUUGUUCUCCAGACCCUUCACCAGCUCCAUUGCCCUUCUCUGGACAUGCUCCAGCACCUCAAUGUCCUUGUAGUGAAUUCGAGGUGUGGCCUCACCAGUGCCGAGUACAGGGGCAUGAUCUCCUCCCUGCUCCUGCUGGCCACACUAGUCCUGAUACAAGCCAGGGUGCUGUUGGCCGCCUGGGCACACUGCUGGCUCAUGUUCAGCUGGCUGUCGACCAACACCCCCAGGUCCUUCUCUGCCAGGCAGCUCUCCAGCCACUCCUCCCCAAGCCUGGAGCAUUGCAUGGGGUUGUUGUGACCCAAAUGCAGGACCCGGCACUUGGCCUUGUUAAACCUCCUGCCUUCCUACCCUCAAACAGACCAACACUCCCGCCCAGUUUGGUGUCAUCUGCAAACUUACUGAGGAUGCACUCAAUCCCCUCAUCCAGAUCAUUAUAAAGAUAUUAAACAAGGCUGGCCCCAACACUGAGCCCUGGGGAACACCACUCGUGACUGGCUGCCAACUGGAUUUAGCUCUGUUCACAGCAACUCUCUCGGCUUGGCCAUCCAGCCAGUUUUUUAACCAGUGAAGAGCACACCUGAGCCAUGAGCCGCCAAAGUUCCUUGGUAUCUAUGUAUUACUUGGAUUUUUGUCAGGUCUCAAUAUAUAUCAUGGCUGCAUUGCCUUAACACUGGAAAAGCAUAUUCAGAAGCAGACUCUGCCCCAAAGAGCUUGCAACUGAAAUACAUAAAAUACAUUCAGAGUCAAAGGAAGCAAACAUUUUUUUACAGUCACUGUGAAAUGAGGGAAAUAAGCUAGUGUCACUCAUCUAGGGCAUGACCAGUAGCUGAACCCAGUCUCCUUGACUUCUCAAUCCCUCUCUCAUUUGCAGAAAGAUUUUUCCUAUUUUCAUCCAUUACAGUCAUUAAUAGAGUAGGAAAUUUCAGUAGGAUAUUGGCAAUGAAAGGAGACAAAAUUUCAUUUAUUUUCCUACUGUUUCACUUUAAUAAUCUGUCACUAUAUGACAAAGUAGUUGGUAGAAGGAGAAAGCAUGGUAUGUUCUCUGCUGGUGCCAUGGCACUUUUUAGCCAGUCUGGUAGUGGAGUUUAUAUUAGCUAUUAAUCUGUUACAGAAAGAAGGCAGCGAAUGGGUCAGAACAUGAUUUGGCUGUUAAUUUACAAAUUUUGAGCAAUAGGCAUGAAAUGACUGAACAAAGAAGUAGAUGACAAUGCAGAAAAUAUUUUUGGUAUAUAAAAAGCUUCCUUUUAGAAUAAGCCUAUUCAUAAGUAAUAUUACACACAAUUCUGAGAAUACAUUAGGAGGUCUCAGUACAUUUAGAUUUUCAGAUUAACUGGUGAGCUGCACAAAUGCAACCUGAAUUAUGACUCUCCUGUGAUUUCUGCUUAUAAAUCCUUUUCCCACUACAAAUAAAUUAUGAAAUACAUUGAAAAUAAUGAGUUAAAGAAAAAAAAAUAUUUUUUGUUAAAUUUAAUGGACACAGCUACUUUGAAUAGUGUCAUUUUUUCUGUGGGAAUGAAAAAAGCCUCCUACAAGUCUCUUCUGUGUAUAAAUACAUCCAUUUACUUCAGCAGCAUCUCAGUGAAUCUAAGUUUGACCAAUAAAACUUAGCUGGAAUGUCACUCCUGUGUGUGUCAGAAAGAUUCAGGAGAGCCUAGUGAGGAAUCUGUGCAUGCUUCAGUACUUACCACUGUGUCAGCUUCACAGCAAGGCAGGAUCCUGGGUCAUAGGAAAGAAGAGGAAACAGAAUUUUGUUUUGAAGAGUGUCGCUUCAUGUACGUACAAAGCUAUUACUUCCGUCUUUGGCAGCAAAACUAGAUUUACCAAAACUAUAUUUACUGAAGGAACAGCAAGCAAUCUCACAGAAGUGCUCACAUAAUGUUAUAUUAAGGAAUUUCAAAGAAAUUCUGAUCAAGGUGGUACUCAGGCUAUGAAAACCUACAGAAUUGUCAGGUACCAACACAGUGUUGUAAAAAGCACUACCAGAGGGUUUCUGCUGGCACCAGUGCUGCGGUUUGCUCACCCAACAAAUCUUCUGCUCAGUAAUUCAUCUCAACAAACAUCCAAAUAAUUUUACCACUGGUAAUGUUUUUUCCCCAGUCUCUGUUCUAAAAUAGCCAACACAAAUCUUUGUUUCGUUCACUUGUUCUGAUUGUUUUUUCUUCAGGGAAGAAGGGGGUAUUCAAACAAUUAGAAACUUUUGCAUCAAGAAUGUGGAUGGAAUAGGUUAAACGGGGAUGAUAAAUCAUGGUAAUGGAGAGCUGCCCUUUCCAGUAUGUGUACUGGCUUUCUGAGCAAGAUUUUUAGAAAACAGGAUCUUAACCUUAGGAUUUGUACUCCUGCAUGAACUUUUCAGAAGGAUAAUUGUACUACAUCAAGGACACUCCCUCUGUUAACAGCGUGUUAAAUUGACGGGUGUUGAUUUAAAAUCUAGAGAGACUAAAAUAACUGGUUUAAUUUUCAGAUGUGUAAAAUAUACAGAUCACUAGUUGAAAAAAUGUAUUAUUUAUUUUAAUGCUUAUUUGUUAAAAAUAAUACAUAUUUUUGACUUGGCUUAUUUGUCUAUGUUGAUUUUUCUUAGCUGUGGAGAAGGAGCUGCAAUACAAAUAAUGUGGCAUAGGUAUUUACUCAGCAGUCUG